rnacentral:rRNA from 1 species
UUAAGCGACUAAGCGUACACGGUGGAUGCCCUGGCAGUCAGAGGCGAUGAAGGACGUGCUAAUCUGCGAUAAGCGUCGGUAAGGUGAUAUGAACCGUUAUAACCGGCGAUUUCCGAAUGGGGAAACCCAGUGUGAUUCGUCACACUAUCAUUAACUGAAUCCAUAGGUUAAUGAGGCGAACCGGGGGAACUGAAACAUCUAAGUACCCCGAGGAAAAGAAAUCAACCGAGAUUCCCCCAGUAGCGGCGAGCGAACGGGGAGGAGCCCAGAGCCUGAAUCAGUGUGUGUGUUAGUGGAAGCGUCUGGAAAGGCGCGCGAUACAGGGUGACAGCCCCGUACACAAAAAUGCACAUGCUGUGAGCUCGAUGAGUAGGGCGGGACACGUGGUAUCCUGUCUGAAUAUGGGGGGACCAUCCUCCAAGGCUAAAUACUCCUGACUGACCGAUAGUGAACCAGUACCGUGAGGGAAAGGCGAAAAGAACCCCGGCGAGGGGAGUGAAAAAGAACCUGAAACCGUGUACGUACAAGCAGUGGGAGCACGCUUAGGCGUGUGACUGCGUACCUUUUGUAUAAUGGGUCAGCGACUUAUAUUCUGUAGCAAGGUUAACCGAAUAGGGGAGCCGAAGGGAAACCGAGUCUUAACUGGGCGUUAAGUUGCAGGGUAUAGACCCGAAACCCGGUGAUCUAGCCAUGGGCAGGUUGAAGGUUGGGUAACACUAACUGGAGGACCGAACCGACUAAUGUUGAAAAAUUAGCGGAUGACUUGUGGCUGGGGGUGAAAGGCCAAUCAAACCGGGAGAUAGCUGGUUCUCCCCGAAAGCUAUUUAGGUAGCGCCUCGUGAAUUCAUCUCCGGGGGUAGAGCACUGUUUCGGCAAGGGGGUCAUCCCGACUUACCAACCCGAUGCAAACUGCGAAUACCGGAGAAUGUUAUCACGGGAGACACACGGCGGGUGCUAACGUCCGUCGUGAAGAGGGAAACAACCCAGACCGCCAGCUAAGGUCCCAAAGUCAUGGUUAAGUGGGAAACGAUGUGGGAAGGCCCAGACAGCCAGGAUGUUGGCUUAGAAGCAGCCAUCAUUUAAAGAAAGCGUAAUAGCUCACUGGUCGAGUCGGCCUGCGCGGAAGAUGUAACGGGGCUAAACCAUGCACCGAAGCUGCGGCAGCGACGCUUAUGCGUUGUUGGGUAGGGGAGCGUUCUGUAAGCCUGCGAAGGUGUGCUGUGAGGCAUGCUGGAGGUAUCAGAAGUGCGAAUGCUGACAUAAGUAACGAUAAAGCGGGUGAAAAGCCCGCUCGCCGGAAGACCAAGGGUUCCUGUCCAACGUUAAUCGGGGCAGGGUGAGUCGACCCCUAAGGCGAGGCCGAAAGGCGUAGUCGAUGGGAAACAGGUUAAUAUUCCUGUACUUGGUGUUACUGCGAAGGGGGGACGGAGAAGGCUAUGUUGGCCGGGCGACGGUUGUCCCGGUUUAAGCGUGUAGGCUGGUUUUCCAGGCAAAUCCGGAAAAUCAAGGCUGAGGCGUGAUGACGAGGCACUACGGUGCUGAAGCAACAAAUGCCCUGCUUCCAGGAAAAGCCUCUAAGCAUCAGGUAACAUCAAAUCGUACCCCAAACCGACACAGGUGGUCAGGUAGAGAAUACCAAGGCGCUUGAGAGAACUCGGGUGAAGGAACUAGGCAAAAUGGUGCCGUAACUUCGGGAGAAGGCACGCUGAUAUGUAGGUGAAGUCCCUCGCGGAUGGAGCUGAAAUCAGUCGAAGAUACCAGCUGGCUGCAACUGUUUAUUAAAAACACAGCACUGUGCAAACACGAAAGUGGACGUAUACGGUGUGACGCCUGCCCGGUGCCGGAAGGUUAAUUGAUGGGGUCAGCGCAAGCGAAGCUCUUGAUCGAAGCCCCGGUAAACGGCGGCCGUAACUAUAACGGUCCUAAGGUAGCGAAAUUCCUUGUCGGGUAAGUUCCGACCUGCACGAAUGGCGUAAUGAUGGCCAGGCUGUCUCCACCCGAGACUCAGUGAAAUUGAACUCGCUGUGAAGAUGCAGUGUACCCGCGGCAAGACGGAAAGACCCCGUGAACCUUUACUAUAGCUUGACACUGAACAUUGAGCCUUGAUGUGUAGGAUAGGUGGGAGGCUUUGAAGUGUGGACGCCAGUCUGCAUGGAGCCGACCUUGAAAUACCACCCUUUAAUGUUUGAUGUUCUAACGUUGACCCGUGAUCCGGGUUGCGGACAGUGUCUGGUGGGUAGUUUGACUGGGGCGGUCUCCUCCUAAAGAGUAACGGAGGAGCACGAAGGUUGGCUAAUCCUGGUCGGACAUCAGGAGGUUAGUGCAAUGGCAUAAGCCAGCUUGACUGCGAGCGUGACGGCGCGAGCAGGUGCGAAAGCAGGUCAUAGUGAUCCGGUGGUUCUGAAUGGAAGGGCCAUCGCUCAACGGAUAAAAGGUACUCCGGGGAUAACAGGCUGAUACCGCCCAAGAGUUCAUAUCGACGGCGGUGUUUGGCACCUCGAUGUCGGCUCAUCACAUCCUGGGGCUGAAGUAGGUCCCAAGGGUAUGGCUGUUCGCCAUUUAAAGUGGUACGCGAGCUGGGUUUAGAACGUCGUGAGACAGUUCGGUCCCUAUCUGCCGUGGGCGCUGGAGAACUGAGGGGGGCUGCUCCUAGUACGAGAGGACCGGAGUGGACGCAUCACUGGUGUUCGGGUUGUCAUGCCAAUGGCACUGCCCGGUAGCUAAAUGCGGAAGAGAUAAGUGCUGAAAGCAUCUAAGCACGAAACUUGCCCCGAGAUGAGUUCUCCCUGACUCCUUGAGAGUCCUGAAGGAACGUUGAAGACGACGACGUUGAUAGGCCGGGUGUGUAAGCGCAGCGAUGCGUUGAGCUAACCGGUACUAAUGAACCGUGAGGCUUAACCU